rnacentral:lncRNA from 1 species
GUCCGCCUAUCCUUAAACAAAACAAAGGUGUUGCAUAUUCACCUGAAUUCUUAUUUCCUUUGCAGAUUUGAAUCUCCCUGUCUCAAAGCUGAAAGAAGUCACUGGAGCAACAGCAGAAAAAAACACACAAAUUGAUUCCUUGUAUUAUCUUGUGCAAAUCAAUAUAGAGGAGAUGUAUCUCCCCCUCAUUUAAUUCUGUUUUCUUUCUAAAGGUCAGCUUUUGAAAUGAAUGUGAAUUCUUUCUCAUCUGACUAUAAUUAUUUAAGGCUUAACAACAAAUCUAUUCUUACAGUCUCUUUUGUCUUGGGUUUGAAUUGCUUGCUGUUAAAUGAAUUGCUUAUCAGGUUUCUUUUUUCUUGUUCUGCAAAUCAUAUGCGCACUGCUGUCAGACUCCUGUCUAUUAAUUGGUGGAACUGAGAUCUGAAUGCAGAUGGUAAACCUAUUAAUAAAUGAUGGUUGGGGAAAUACUUAUUGAUUCAUACAGGAAAAAUUAUAUAUACAUACUUCUGCAUCGUUUUGGAUAAUGUGGGAUUUUAAUCCUUCAUUGAUUUUUCUUUAUUUGCAAAUUAAGCUUAAAAUACGUAUGCUGUAAUAGAAAAAAAAAUUGCCCUGGGUUGCAGUUGCUCAGUUUUGAGGAAUAAAACAUACCAACAAUGUUCUCAUUAAGGCGGCAAAUUAAACAAUAGUGAGAUCGAGCAUGUUUUGACUUUUGCACAGAUAUAGAUCCAAUUUGUUUAUUACAUUUAGGCUGCAAACUCACCACACACUUAAAGUUUCCCUUGAAACCAAGGAUUGCAGUUUGUUAAAGGUGUUGAGAAUUGUAGCUCUAUGAAAGGUAAACGGCAGUUCCCAGGAUUCUCUCUCCCCCUCCGUCUGUGUGUAUGAGAGACAGCAUCCUUUAAAUGUGUUUUCAAUAUAUGCUGUGUACACAGCCUUAUACCCCUUAUGUUCCGUCCAAUGACCUCAAGAAGGCAUACAGGCUACUUUCCCCACUCUCAGUUUUAACCACCACAGGUAUUCUGUGAGGUAUGUUCAGCUGAGAGAUGAUGACUGCUCCAGGAUUCCCAGAUCAGUUUUAUAUUUGAGUGGAAAUUUGAACCCUGACCUCCUCAGUCCUUAUCUGACUCUCUGACCACCAUGAAACAUAAACAUAUUGGGUUGUAUCCAACUAAGUUGUCCCACUAAUGCAAGGACUUCGGCCUGUGCAGUGGGACUCCCUCUCUCUGUAUAACCCCCACCCUAAGUCUGAUAGGGAGGGUUGAGGGGAAACCCAAAAAUGAUGUUUCUGGAGAGGGGUGCGCUUGUGAGUUGAAGGUGCUCUGUAUGUGUGCUAUUUUAAUAGUAAAAUAAUUACACAGUAGACAAAUGGGAAACCUUUCAGGCAGUCUAGCAGUUUUCCUCUGGUUUCUGGCUCUGAUACUUUGAGUUAGAAACAAAAUGGUAGCUGUAGCAACUGAAUGUGCGUAAGGGUUUAAGACUCCUCUUGGUCAGUCUUUUGUACGGUUGGAAUAUUCCCCCUAUCAUCUUGCUCUAGCCGCUCCUCAGUGUGGGUUUCUGUGACAUGAUACAAACUCAAGAAAUAAUUGGUCACAAUGCAAAACUAUAGUUACUUGGGGUAUUAGAAUCAAUACCAUUCGGCAAGUCAUGGUUUGUGAGUGACCAGCAAGCAGGAACUGAUAUUAUGGUUUGAAGUUGCUUGAUAUUACAAACCAAACCGUUGUUUUUGGGACCUUAAAGGCCACUUUUGGGGAUAGCAUCAAGGGGACGUGGGAAACCAUGGUUUGUCUGUAUGCCUAAAACACAAAUCAUGGUUUGGUAUCCACAGUUGGUUCAAAGCACAAUUUUGUGUUGCAUCUAAACCACCAGUUUUUAAUAGGUUACAUUUCAGUGGGAUCUGCCCAGCUAUAGGUGCAAUCCUACACUGUGGAGACGUAAAACAUAAGAUUUGUUCUGGUGAGGUACAGUUCUCUUUCAAAGAAGAUUAGCUUUUCAAAUGAGAUUAGCGGUUUUAAGCCUGAUCUCUGCCUGCAAAGUAAAGAUAUCAUUUCUGAAGCUACAGGCCUUCUGCAUGAGGAAUUUACACAGAAUUCUCAUGUUAGAAAUGAAGAAGCCCUGGAAGCCGUACAUGCUGAAAAUAGAAAUCACUGUGACCCCCCCUCAGUAAAGCUGCCCCUCAGAAUGCAUUUUUGUUUUGUUUAGAUUGAGCCUUAUCACUCUUGAAAGUGAGCUCUGUCACUGCUAGAGACCUGCACCGAUAAGGCUGCAGAGACUCUUGUGCUAAAAAAGAAAUAAAGAAAUCAGCACAAGAAAUCUGCAGAAGGGAGAUAGGCCAGGCCAGAAAGCAGAUACCAUCAGCUCCUGACAGAACCAUCAACAGCCUGAGAGAACUGUUGGGUCAGCCCCUCUCUCUUUCCCUCUCUGGGCCUACUUACACCUGCUUACUCUGUCUCCAGUGCAAGCCAAGCAUACCCUCCAACAUUUUUCUGAUGAAAAUGGGAACGUCCUACUGUAUUCCAUAAUCAUAUUAUUAAUAAUAAUUUUACUAUUUAUAACCUGCCCGUCUGACUGGGUUGCCCCAGCCACUCUGGGCGGCUUCCAACAUAUAUGAAAGCCUAAUAAAACAUUAAGCAUUAAAAAAACUUCCCUAUACAUGGCUGCCUUCAGAUGGCUUGGGGACUGGAUAACUCCAUACCCUCCAACAUUUCUCUGAUGAAAAUAGGGAAGUCCUAAGGAAAAGUGGGACAUUCCGGGACCAAAACAGAAACCGGGACAGCUUCUAUAAAACCGGGACUAUCCCUGGAAAUUAGGGACACUUGCAGGGUCUGCAACUGCUGAUUUGGGAAGCAGUAUAUACACAAGGUUCUUAUGAAAUGCUGCAUUUUGCUGCAUUUUCCCCCCAUCUUUGAUCUGAACUGAGAAAAAGAACAACCUGUGUUUUAAGCCCGUAAUGUGUACAAAGUCUGCAAUGCGUACAAAGUCAAAAUGUCUUGAGGGAAGGCAGAAGGAAGGGAGACCAGGCCAGGGGAACAUGUGCCAUCAACUGGCAAAUGGGAAGCAAUGCUGGGCUCCUCCUACCCUUCUUCCCAAUGUACAGUAGAUGUUUAUUCCCACCCCCCUUGUUCCUGAUGUAGAUCUUCAAUCACCCCUUCUCUGGAAGAAAAACAAAUUUAUGCACUUCUAUCAUGUUGCCUCUUACUUGCCUUUUCUCUAAAUUACGAAUCCCCAAAUGUUGUCAUCUUUCCUCACAGGGGAGUCGUUCCAUCUCCUUCAGCCAUUUCAAGUUCUCGGUGAAAUCAGAUGAACAGUAGUUACAAACCAGUAGCCAUACAUUGUGGGAGGGAUUCAAGUUUAGGUUUGCAAAGUUAAGUGAGUUCAAGUGCUCUGCUGUCCUAGCACAACAAAUCCACUUUUAAAAAAAAGAAUUGGUCUUUUUGCAGCUAGGGAAGUGAUGGAGAAAGGCAUUGAAAAAUGUGUAAUAAACAAAUCACUAAUGGGAAGAUGUAUAAGGAUCUUGCAAUUAAGACCAAGUAUAAUCUAACCUUUGCAUAAUCUUUGUGUGAGCAAACCAUGCUGAAUAAACAGGUCUUUUUGAAUAGCCCUUUGCUGCAAACUCUCCAUGGACCCCUCCUUUGAUACUGUGUCUUAUUUAGGUGUCAUAAUUCUGUUGUGACUUUAUCAGAGUCUCGAGUCCAAAAGAAAGGGAAAUUUGUUUGGAAGACCAUUACAUAACUGAGUGUGGUUGGGGUAUGCGAAUGGGUAAAGCAGCUGGGAUCUGUGACGGAACCUUUGUGAUCCUGCUGUGAUCAUCCUCUCCUAUAUGGAAUUUUAUAAUUGGAAUUGUAGGAAAAACAUAAAUUAAAAUGAUGACAAAUGAUUUACCUCGCCUUUUAUGUUGUUGCUUCCUGGAGUUUUAUAUCAUGGCUGUGCAAAAGCUCUAUUUACCAAACAGUGGGUAGCCUGUGCCCAUUAAAGUAAUAAUCCUAUGUACUUUUUUUUUGUUUUGUUUAAAAAUUAAUUUUCCCUCAUGAAAUUGGAGACCUUGCAUAGUAACAAUAUGACCUUUUAAAAUUAACUCACUUUUUCUUACGUCUUUGUUUGUUUGUUUGUUCUUUGAGUUUGCACUUUAGGAUUUCUAAGGAAUAAGUAAUCCUAAUCUUGAAUCCUGUUGAUGAAAACUAUAUUAUGGAAAUGUCUGAAUCACUUACUGUGAUACGUAGAUCAAAGAUUGGGCAAAGUGCUAUGAAUAGCGAAUGCUGGAAUUUACUUUAAACCUGUCACAGGCCAGCUGGCAAACAGAAUGGCCCGAAUCUGUGACUGUGAGGAAUAACUGAAAUUUUGAAAAGUUGUACUAGAGAAACCCAUUUUGGCUGAGAACAACGGUCCUCCCUCAUCCCCAGGGAAAAUGUACUUUACCACUGUGGGACUGGAGCAGAAAUAUUUAAUAGAAGAUAGAUAAAUAGAUGAAAUGAUAAAACAUUAUCUAAGAUUAAUCAAAGGAUCAUUAGGCAAGUAUCUCAACACUGAAGAAGUAC